UACAGAGGUCUCAAGCGUUGUUCGGAUUCAUUGGGCGUAAAGGGUGCGUAGGUGGCGCUGUAAGUCGGGUGUGAAAUUCGGAGCUUAACUCCGAAACUGCAUUCGAUACUGCGGUGCUUGAGGACUGGAGAGGAGACUGGAAUUCAUGGUGUAGCAGUGAAAUGCGUAGAGAUCAUGAGGAAGACCAGUGGCGAAGGCGGGUCUCUGGACAGUUCCUGACGCUGAGGCACGAAGGCCAGGGGAGCAAACGGG
rnacentral:rRNA from 1 species